UACGGAGGGUGCAAGCGUUAUCCGGAUUUACUGGGUUUAAAGGGUGUGUAGGCGGACUUUUAAGUCAGCGGUGAAAUCUCCGGGCUCAACCCGGAAACUGCCAUUGAUACUAUUAGUCUUGAAUGUUGUUGAGGUGGGCGGAACGGGUCAUGUAGCGGUGAAAUGCAUAGAUAUGACCCGGAACACCGAUUGACGAAGGCAGCCCACUAAGCAACUAUUGACGCUGAGGCACGAAAGCGUGGGGAUCAAACAGG
rnacentral:rRNA from 1 species